AUUGAACGCUGGCGGCAGGCCUAACACAUGCAAGUCGAGCGGAUGAAGGGAGCUUGCUCCUGGAUUCAGCGGCGGACGGGUGAGUAAUGCCUAGGAAUCUGCCUGGUAGUGGGGGAUAACGUCCGGAAACGGGCGCUAAUACCGCAUACGUCCUGAGGGAGAAAGUGCGGGAUCUUCGGACCUCACGCUAUCAGAUGAGCCUAGGUCGGAUUAGCUAGUUGGUGGGGUAAAGGCCUACCAAGGCGACGAUCCGUAACUGGUCUGAGAGGAUGAUCAGUCACACUGGAACUGAGACACGGUCCAGACUCCUACGGGAGGCAGCAGUGGGGAAUAUUGGACAAAGGGCGAAAGCCUGAUCCAGCCAUGCCGCGUGUGUGAAGAAGGUCUUCGGAUUGUAAAGCACUUUAAGUUGGGAGGAAGGGCAGUAAGUUAAUACCUUGCUGUUUUGACGUUACCAACAGAAUAAGCACCGGCUAACUUCGUG
rnacentral:rRNA from 1 species